CGGGUGAAAAGCCCGCUCGCCGGAAGACCAAGGGUUCCUGUCCAACGUUAAUCGGGGCAGGGUGAGUCGACCCCUAAGGCGAGGCCGAAAGGCGUAGUCGAUGGGAAACGGGUUAAUAUUCCCGUACUUGGUGUUACUGCGAAGGGGGGACGGAGAAGGCUAUGUUGGCCGGGCGACGGUUGUCCCGGUUUAAGCGUGUAGGUGUGUGUUCCAGGUAAAUCCGGUUCACUUUAACACUGAGGCGUGACGACGAGGCACUACGGUGCUGAAGCAACAAAUGCCCUGCUUCCAGGAAAAGCCUCUAAGCAUCAGGUAACAUCAAAUCGUACCCCAAACCGACACAGGUGGUCAGGUAGAGAAUACCAAGGCGCUUGAGAGAACUCGGGUGAAGGAACUAGGCAAAAUGGUGCCGUAACUUCGGGAGAAGGCACGCUGACACGUAGGUGAAGUGAUUUACUCAUGGAGCUGAAGUCAGUCGAAGAUACCAGCUGGCUGCAACUGUUUAUUAAAAACACAGCACUGUGCAAACACGAAAGUGGACGUAUACGGUGUGACGCCUGCCCGGUGCCGGAAGGUUAAUUGAUGGGGUCAGCGCAAGCGAAGCUCCUGAUCGAAGCCCCGGUAAACGGCGGCCGUAACUAUAACGGUCCUAAGGUAGCGAAAUUCCUUGUCGGGUAAGUUCCGACCUGCACGAAUGGCGUAAUGAUGGCCAGGCUGUCUCCACCCGAGACUCAGUGAAAUUGAACUCGCUGUGAAGAUGCAGUGUACCCGCGGCAAGACGGAAAGACCCCGUGAACCUUUACUAUAGCUUGACACUGAACAUUGAGCCUUGAUGUGUAGGAUAGGUGGGAGGCUUUGAAGUGUGGACGCCAGUCUGCAUGGAGCCGACCUUGAAAUACCACCCUUUAAUGUUUGAUGUUCUAACGUGGACCCGUUACCCGGGUUGCGGACAGUGUCUGGUGGGUAGUUUGACUGGGGCGGUCUCCUCCUAAAGAGUAACGGAGGAGCACGAAGGUUGGCUAAUCCUGGUCGGACAUCAGGAGGUUAGUGCAAUGGCAUAAGCCAGCUUGACUGCGAGCGUGACGGCGCGAGCAGGUGCGAAAGCAGGUCAUAGUGAUCCGGUGGUUCUGAAUGGAAGGGCCAUCGCUCAACGGAUAAAAGGUACUCCGGGGAUAACAGGCUGAUACCGCCCAAGAGUUCAUAUCGACGGCGGUGUUUGGCACCUCGAUGUCGGCUCAUCACAUCCUGGGGCUGAAGUAGGUCCCAAGGGUAUGGCUGUUCGCCAUUUAAAGUGGUACGCGAGCUGGGUUUAGAACGUCGUGAGACAGUUCGGUCCCUAUCUGCCGUGGGCGCUGGAGAACUGAGGGGGGCUGCUCCUAGUACGAGAGGACCGGAGUGGACGCAUCACUGGUGUUCGGGUUGUCAUGCCAAUGGCACUGCCCGGUAGCUAAAUGCGGAAGAGAUAAGUGCUGAAAGCAUCUAAGCACGAAACUUGCCCCGA
rnacentral:rRNA from 1 species